rnacentral:rRNA from 1 species
UACGAAGGGUGCAAGCGUUAAUCGGAAUUACUGGGCGUAAAGCGUGCGUAGGCGGUGAGUUAAGUCUGUCGUGAAAGCCCUGGGCUCAACCUGGGAAUGCCGAUGGAAACUGGCUCGCUAGAGUGUGAUAGAGGAUGGCGGAAUUCCCGGUGUAGCGGUGAAAUGCGUAGAGAUCGGGAGGAACAUCCGUGGCGAAGGCGGCCAUCUGGAUCAACACUGACGCUGAGGCACGAAAGCGUGGGGAGCAAACAGG